CAACGUUGCGGAUGGCCAAAUUGUUGUUUAUGUCAACUUUGCAAGCGAGAAGCGGCUCAUCUUUUUUUCAGGUGUAGACACACAAGGAAGAUUUGGUCUGACAUCAAGAGUUGGCUUGGUCUAGAGCACAUCAACUUGGACAACUGGAGCAAUUUUAACUCGGUCAAAGAUUGGUGGUACUCUAUGGUAAAUGCCAACAGUAAUGUCAGGAAAGGUAUAUUGUCCAUGGUUAUGUUGGCUUCAUGGGAGAUUCGAAAUGAGACAAAUGCAAGAGUCUUUAGAAACGUGGCGUUCAUGCCCGGUGUAAUAGCAAGUAGGACUAAGGCGGGCACUAAACAUUUGAGAUCCUUGAUGCCCUGA
rnacentral:rRNA from 1 species